UACAGAGGGGGCAAGCGUUGUUCGGAAUUACUGGGCGUAAAGGGCGCGUAGGCGGCCUGUUAAGUCGGACGUGAAAUCCCUCGGCUCAACCGGGGAACUGCGUCCGAUACUGGCGGGCUUGAAUUCGGGAGAGGGAUGUGGAAUUCCUGGUGUAGCGGUGAAAUGCGCAGAUAUCAGGAGGAACACCAAUUGCGAAGGCAGCUCGCUGGGACGUUACUGACGCUGAGACGCGAAAGCGUGGGGAGCAAACAGG
rnacentral:rRNA from 1 species